rnacentral:tRNA from 3 species
GGCGGGAUAGCUCAGUUGGUUAGAGCGUCGGAUUCAUAACCCGGAGGUCACGAGUUCAACUCUCGUUCCCGCUACCA